GCCUGGGUGGCUCAGUCAGUUGAGCGUCCGACUUCGGCUCAGGUCAUGAUCUCGCGGUCCGUGGGUUCGAGUCCCGCGUCGGGCU
rnacentral:tRNA from 1 species